GCGGGGCAGCAACUUCAAUUUUUUUAGCAAAGUUCCGACCGGGGUUCGAAAAUUUUAUCACGUACCAAUCUAAUAACUGACUUGGACGUAAGUUUUGACAUGAUUCUGUGUAGAAUAUUUUAGACUACUCUUUUUAACAUUUUAAUUAUGCCACUUUAUUUUCUUGUUAUUACAUCCAAUUAUAAUUGAGUGAAUUAUAUCAAUAUCAAUUCGAAUCAAGUAUCUGUUCUCAAUUCUUCAACACAACAAACGACAACACCAAACGCCUGAAAUAAAUAUUAAAACUAACUAAAACAAUAUAUCUGCCCUGGCUAAAAGCCUUGUCAAUAAAAUUUAUAGGCAAGAAGCCUAAUUUCCCCUCUAUGGGGCUGGUUAUAUCAAACCCGUUUAGCUUAAACGGUGGAUAAGUCAAAAUUAAAUAACACUCUUAUAUCUCUUGUGAAUCUGUUAACUUAAAUAUUUAUUCUGCACUGAAUACGUAGUUGUAAAAAAUAUCGUUCUAUUAAGGUUCAAUACUUUUAGUUUGGUUGUUGAAUGAAUCUAUAGACUUGCUAUCUAUUUUGAGCUUAACCACCGUUUAAGCUAAGCAGGCUUGAUACAACCAGCCCCAGACAUUUAACACCAGGAACAUAAAAUAAUCUCUGCCUAUGUAGUGAUCUACCAUAGCUCACAUACCAGUAAAAUAAUAGGUAUGAGAAAUAUAAAUAACUAGUCUGAUACAAAUGCCAAUGUAUAUUUCAUAUAAAACUAAACUGGAAUCUGAAUGUCCUAUAUAUGCAUCAACUCAUUGUAUACUCAAAGAGUUUGUCAGUUAAACCAGUUAAGUCCGAGUCAAAUCCGAGCCCGAGUCAACUUAGUACCCUAACCACACUCCUUUAUAAACCCUACCUCUAACCCUAUUUGAUUAUGAAUUUUAUUCAAUUUCGAAGUUUGUCGGUUAACCGAGUUAAAUCUGAGCCCAGUCAAUUAUGUCUGAGUCACUGUUAAGCGGUCUUUGUAGUUCAAUGAAUUAGUACCCUAAUCUUAUUCCUUAAACCCUAUUUGAUUAUGAAUUUUUUCAAUUUUGUCUUUUUUUAACAUGACUCAGACGUUUGACUCGGGCUCUGAAUUGACUCGGAUUUGACUUGGUAAAUAGAUUUACUCUAUACUCAAAGCCGGCAACAAUAUUCAGAUUGAUCAGUCAUGGGUGACCAUGUGAUCUUCAAGGUCUCUGGGAACAUCAAACACAACAUCGCACACACAACAAACAUAUCCAAUACCAGUUGGUUCUGUCGAUUCCAGUUCUUGACAUAAAGCACAUUGAUAGUUUCCAGCAUUACCAUGUUGCCUUGCCAAAUGUUGAACCAAUAUCAUGAAACCAGACAAUUGUCUAUUACAUUUGUUACAAACAUACUUUCCAGUGUUUCUAUCCUCAACAAAAUGUUCUUGUAAUUCUUGCGGUCGGAUAAUCUCUCUGCCGCAAGUGUGACACAACAAAUGCCCCUUCUUGUGGUAAUUAAGACUACUUGAUUGGGAAAAUUGUUUCUCGCAAAAAUCACAUUCAUAAGGCCUGUCCCCUCUGUGUGUUCUUUUGUGUUUAGUUAGAUGUCCUGAUUGUCUAAAUUUCUUCUUACAAACAUUACAUUCAUAAGGUUUGUCUUCAGAGUGUGUAGUCUUGUGCCUCACUAAAAUGCUUGAUUGUGCAAAUCUCCUCUUACAAAUAUCACAUUCAUAUGGCGUUUCGCGAGUGUGCGUUCUUUUAUGUAGCACCAAACGUCUGGAUUGUCGAAAUCUUUUCUUGCACACAUCGCAUUCAUAAGGAUUGUCUCCAGUGUGUGUUCUUUCUUGUCUUGCCGAGCUGCCUGAUCUUAUAAAUUUACAACCAUGAUCCGCCAUGAUUCGCUAAUUUUAUGAAUUUCACGCAAAUUAAUAAACUGGUGAUCGACUUCAGAUCUACAUUUUUUUACUUCUCUCUCCACAAAAGCGUCAGUAGCCUUGUAUCUUCUUAUUAAAACAAAAUGAAACUAUAAAUUUGGAGAAACGUUUACGUCGUAUUGUGUCUAUUGUCGUUUUCAAAAU
rnacentral:lncRNA from 1 species